ACGACUGAUUGUAAUAAAGGUGUUUCAAUAAAAAAAAAAAUCUGUUCUUAUCAGUUUAAUAUCUGAUACAUCCCCUAUCUGGGGACCAUAUAUUAAAUGGAUUUUUCGAACAGGGAGAUGGAAAAAGAGCUUGCUCUGUCCACUUCACGCAUUGACCUGGUAUUGCAGUCUCCUCACACCCUAAAUCCAAUUAAG